UACGGAGGGUGCGAGCGUUGUCCGGAAUCAUUGGGCGUAAAGAGCGUGUAGGCGGUCCGGUCAGUCGGUUGUGAAAGUCAAGGGCUCAACCCUUGAAUGCCGGCCGAUACUGCCGGGCUAGAGUCCGGAAGAGGUGAGUGGAAUUCCUGGUGUAGCGGUGAAAUGCGCAGAUAUCAGGAGGAACACCGAUGGCGAAGGCAGCUCACUGGGACGGUACUGACGCUGAGACGCGAAAGCGUGGGGAGCAAACAGG
rnacentral:rRNA from 1 species